rnacentral:rRNA from 1 species
UACCAGCACCCCGAGUGGUCGGGGCGAUUAUUGGGCCUAAAGCGUCCGUAGCCGGCCUUACAAGUCCUCCGUUAAAUCCAGCUGCUUAACAGAUGGGCUGCGGAGGAUACUAUAAGACUAGGAGGCAGGAGAGGCAAGCGGUACUCAGUGGGUAGGGGUAAAAUCCGUUGAUCCAUUGAAGACCACCAGUGACGAAGGCGGCUUGCCAGAAUGCGCUCGACGGUGAGGGAUGAAAGCUGGGGGAGCAAACCGG